GCGGAUGGCCGGAUGACCGCGGGCGCUUGAUGCGUCCGAGGAAAGUCCGGGCUCCAUGCAGGCAUGGUGCCGGGUAACGCCCGGCGGGGGCAACCCCAGGGAAAGCGCCACAGAGAACAGACCGCCCCCGCAAGCCGGGGGCAAGGGUGAAACGGUGGGGCAAGAGCCCACCGCGGGACGGGCAACCGGACCGGCACGGCAAGCCCCACCAGGAGCAAUGCCGAAUAGGGAUCGCGCGCGGGGGCAACCCCGCAGGGCUGCCUGCGCCCCAGCAGAUCCGGGUUGGCAGCUAGAGCCCGUCGGCAACGGCGGGACCAGAGGAAUGGUCAUCCACGGGGCGCCCCCUCGAAAAGGGCACCCCCGGACAGAACCCGGCUUACAGGCCAUCCGCGCAU
rnacentral:RNase_P_RNA from 1 species